rnacentral:rRNA from 1 species
GACGAACGCUGGCGGCGUGCUUAACACAUGCAAGUCGAACGAUGAACCACUUCGGUGGGGAUUAGUGGCGAACGGGUGAGUAACACGUGGGCAAUCUGCCCUUCACUCUGGGACAAGCCCUGGAAACGGGGUCUAAUACCGGAUAACACUGCCACGGGCAUCUGUGGUGGUUAAAAGCUCCGGCGGUGAAGGAUGAGCCCGCGGCCUAUCAGCUUGUUGGUGAGGUAAUGGCUCACCAAGGCGACGACGGGUAGCCGGCCUGAGAGGGCGACCGGCCACACUGGGACUGAGACACGGCCCAGACUCCUACGGGAGGCAGCAGUGGGGAAUAUUGCACAAUGGGCGAAAGCCUGAUGCAGCGACGCCGCGUGAGGGAUGACGGCCU